CACUAAGGAAUAAUGGAACCUCUGUCUGUCCUAUUGGUCAGAUAAGGAAUGCUAAAAGUCAGUUGCUUUCUUUUGGUAUAAGACAUAAUGAUUCAAACAGCUAUUGCUACUUGCAUCUUGGCUAACUGGUAAGUUCCCAGGCAAGCAGGGAACAGGAAAAAAAGAGAGAAAACUCAAUUUGGUAAAUUUGCUAUAACUUAGCAACUAGAAUAAGUCCAUGUUUAUGUUUUUAUUAUUCAUAUCUACCCUGCUUCCACAUUAGUUUGUAUCAAGAGAUAGUGAUAUUAACACAUAGGCUAUGGGUAAGAACUACCCUCUCAAAAUUGUUAGGACAAAGAACCAGUAUAUUAUAAACAUUUGCAUUUACAAGGUGAUAUGCAGUUGUGUCACCUUGUAACCUAACUUCAUGCCUACAAGUUUUGUUUUUAACUUGGAGCCACAACUUUUUCCAUUAGUAAAUUGACAGAAUGUAAUUAUCCUGACAAACCCAUCUUACUUUUUUUUUUUUUUUUUGGAGACAGUCUCACUCUGUUGCCCAGCCUGGAGUGCAGUGGCGUGACCUCGGCUCACUGCAACUUUCAUUUCCCAGGUUCAAGCAGUUCUCUUGUCUUGGCCUCCCAAGUAGCUGAGAUUACAGGCGCAUGCCCCCACGCCUGGCUAAUUUUUAUUUUUAGUAGAGAUGGCGUUUCACCAUGUUGGCCAGGCUGGUCUCAAACUCCUGACUUCAGGUGAUCUGCCUGCCUCAGCCUCCCAAAGUGCUGGGAUUACACGCGUGAGCCACUGUGCUCAGCCCCAUCUUAGAUACUUUACAAAUGAUUUGUAUGACUGCAAGAAUGCAGGUAAUCCCUGGUAUCUGGGAAUAAUUAGAAGAUGUGAAUAAAGAUUUUACUAUACAAAUAUGGUAAAGAAUAUGAACUUAAGUAGCUGAAUAACAAGAAAAUUGUCUCUGGAGUUCAUCCAAAAAGAUAGUUUUAUACCUCAUUUUAGCAGUGACUUAAAGUUAUACAGGCAUUACCAUUAAGACUGAAUCUUUUAAUCUUUAUACUGUCACCCACAAUACAUAUAAAUUAACCACAAGCCUGCUUUUUCCAGUAACAAAUAGCAUAUCAAUAAUUAAGGAACACACAAAAGCAUCAAGGACCAAAUGACUACUAAAGAAUUUCCAACUUACUCAGAAUACCUUUUUAAAAAUCCUUUUAUUGUGGUGGGAAAAAGAAGAAAAAAAAAGGAGAAAAGGGUGGGGGGUUUGUGUCAGAUACUUACGCUGACUUUGGGCUGAGAAGGCAAAGUCCCACUUGCCUUCAUUGUGCUCACUAGCUUGUUGAACGCAGUCAUGUCUCCGUCUUUCUUCAGUUGUCGAUUGUUGGUUACGGCACUCAAGGUCUCUUCUAGGUGUUCUGCCAUGAAGGGAGUUGAAUUCUUCACUUGCUGGUCAACCUUCAAGCCCUUCAGACCUGCUUCUACCUCCUCCACUGAAAGCACAACCCCUGAAUGUGCUGAGAAGUUGAGAACGUCCAGGUUAAAUCAAGCAAAGAGAUAUCUGUCCCGCAGGUCCUUAUCGCUAAGACGGUGAUCCUUCUCAAAGGUCCGGGCAGAGAUUAUCCUCCCACUGCCAAUCCUACGUCCACCAAGCAGACGAAGCCCAUCACUAUCUUUCUCUAAUGGACUUCCUGAGCGCCGGGAGCUAACAGCGGCUGUCACGUGGCAGCCCCCUCCAAAGCUCCGUCUCUGAGGGCUGAGAACAACAUCUAAGUCAUCUUCUUUCACACGCUCUCGUGGAUCUGGAAGGACGUGGGAAAGACAAAGUUAAACAAACCAACAAGGGUGUUUUCUUCUUUUUUAGAUAGUAUGUCCAUGACUGAUGGGAGGAAGGGGAUGGUUGGAAGAGAGUCACCACUAAAAUUGGGCUUAUCAGCAGAUUCAGGGUAACAUGUACAUUAUGUAUUUAAAUAAGGCUGAGACAUUGGCCUUCCUCUUUGCAGCAAUAGAAGUACGUCACGAUAAAUAAUUUUCCAUGAUUAGUCUUUGCAGUGCCUUUAUUUUGACCAAAUCCUUAUCUAAGAAUUAUUAGCAAAUGUUUUGUCAACUAAUAAACUACAGCAGGCGUAUUUGAAAAAA
ensembl:lncRNA novel transcript